AGAGAGCUUGCUUUCUCGAGCGAGUGGCGAACGGGUGAGUAACGCGUGAGGAACCUGCCUCAAAGAGGGGGACAACAGUUGGAAACGACUGCUAAUACCGCAUAAGCCCACGGGUCGGCAUCGACCAGAGGGAAAAGGAGCAAUCCGCUUUGAGAUGGCCUCGCGUCCGAUUAGCUAGUUGGUGAGGUAAUGGCCCACCAAGGCAACGAUCGGUAGCCGGACUGAGAGGUUGAACGGCCACAUUGGGACUGAGACACGGCCCAGACUCCUACGGGAGGCAGCAGUGGGGAAUAUUGCACAAUGGGGGAAACCCUGAUGCAGCGACGCCGCGUGGAGGAAGAAGGUCUUCGGAUUGUAAACUCCUGUUGUUGGGGAAGAUAAUGACGGUACCCAACAAGGAAGUGACGGCUAACUACGUGCCAGCAGCCGCGGUAAAACGUAGGUCACAAGCGUUGUCCGGAAUUACUGGGUGUAAAGGGAGCGCAGGCGGGAAGACAAGUUGGAAGUGAAAUCUAUGGGCUCAACCCAUAAACUGCUUUCAAAACUGUUUUUCUUGAGUAGUGCAGAGGUAGGCGGAAUUCCCGGUGUAGCGGUGGAAUGCGUAGAUAUCGGGAGGAACACCAGUGGCGAAGG
rnacentral:rRNA from 1 species